AUUGAACGCUGGCGGCGGGCCUAACACAUGCAAGUCGAACGGUAACAGGAAGCAGCUUGCUGCUUUGCUGACGAGUGGCGGACGGGUGAGUAAUGUCUGGGAAACUGCCCGAUGGAGGGGGAUAACUACUGGAAACGGUAGCUAAUACCGCAUAACGUCGCAAGACCAAAGAGGGGGACCUUAGGGCCUCUUGCCAUCGGAUGUGCCCAGAUGGGAUUAGCUAGUAGGUGGGGUAACGGCUCACCUAGGCGACGAUCCCUAGCUGGUCUGAGAGGAUGACCAGCCACACUGGAACUGAGACACGGUCCAGACUCCUACGGGAGGCAGCAGUGGGGAAUAUUGCACAAUGGGCGCAAGCCUGAUGCAGCCAUGCCGCGUGUAUGAAGAAGGCCUUCGGGUUGUAAAGUACUUUCAGCGGGGAGGAAGGGAGUAAAGUUAAUACCUUUGCUCAUUGACGUUACCCGCAGAAGAAGCACCGGCUAACUCCGUG
rnacentral:rRNA from 1 species